ACGUUGGGAACUAGUUGUGGGGACCAUUCCACGGUUUCCGUGACGCAGCUAACGCAUUAAGUUCCCCGCCUGGGGAGUACGGCCGCAAGGCUAAAACUCAAAGGAAUUGACGGGGACCCGCACAAGCGGCGGAGCAUGCGGAUUAAUUCGAUGCAACGCGAAGAACCUUACCAAGGCUUGACAUACACCAGAACACCGUAGAAAUACGGGACUCUUUGGACACUGGUGAACAGGUGGUGCAUGGUUGUCGUCAGCUCGUGUCGUGAGAUGUUGGGUUAAGUCCCGCAACGAGCGCAACCCUCGUUCUAUGUUGCCAGCACGUAAUGGUGGGAACUCAUGGGAUACUGCCGGGGUCAACUCGGAGGAAGGUGGGGAUGACGUCAAAUCAUCAUGCCCCUUAUGUCUUGGGCUUCACGCAUGCUACAAUGGCCGGUACAAAGGGCUGCAAUACCGUGAGGUGGAGCGAAUCCCAAAAAGCCGGUCCCAGUUCGGAUUGAGGUCUGCAACUCGACCUCAUGAAGUCGGAGUCGCUAGUAAUCGCAGAUCAGCAACGCUGCGGUGAAUACGUUCCCGGGUCUUGUACACACCGCCCGUCAAGUCAUGAAAGUCGGUAACACCUGAAGCC
rnacentral:rRNA from 1 species